UACAGAGGGGGCAAGCGUUGUUCGGAAUUACUGGGCGUAAAGGGCGCGUAGGCGGCCUUCUAAGUCGAACGUGAAAUCCCCGGGCUCAACCCGGGAACUGCGUCCGAUACUGGAAGGCUUGAAUCCGGGAGAGGGAUGUGGAAUUCCAGGUGUAGCGGUGAAAUGCGUAGAUAUCAGGAGGAACACCGGUGGCGAAGGCGGCUUUCUGGACAGAAACUGACGCUGAGGCGCGAAAGCUAGGGGAGCAAACAGG
rnacentral:rRNA from 1 species